rnacentral:rRNA from 1 species
CCGGCUAAGGUCCCGAAGUGCGUGUUCAGUGGGAAAGGAUGUGGAGUUGCCCAGACAACCAGGAUGUUGGCUUAGAAGCAGCCAUCAUUCAAAGAGUGCGUAAUAGCUCACUGGUCAAGUGACUCUGCGCCGAAAAUGUAACGGGGCUAAACGGACCACCGAAGCCGCGGAUGCCGAAGGCAUGGUAGGGGAGCGUUCCCGGGGCGUCGAAGUCGCACCGUGAGGUGCGGUGGAGCGCCGGGAAGUGAGAAUGCCGGUGUGAGUAACGAAAAGAGGGGUGAGAAUCCCCUCCGCCGAAAGCCUAAGGGUUCCUGAGGAAGGUUCGUCCGCUCAGGGUAAGUCGGGACCUAAGCCGAGGCUGAAGAGCGUAGGCGAUGGAGAACAGGUGGAGAUUCCUGUACCACCGCGUUCCGAUUGAGCGAAGGGGGGACGCAGGAGGGCAGGGGAGCAGGCGGAUGGAUGUGCCUGUCCAAGCGGUGAGAGAGCAGCGCGAGGCAAAUCCCGCGUUGCGAGGAUCUUGAGCCGUGAUGGGGAGUGAAACUUAGAGUAGCGAAGUCCCUGCACCCACACUGACAAGAAAAGCCUCUAGCGAGGAGCGCGGUGCCCGUACCGCAAACCGACACAGGUAGGCGAGGAGAGGAUCCUAAGGCGCACGGGAGAACUCUCGUUAAGGAACUCGGCAAAAUGGCCCCGUAACUUUGGGAGAAGGGGUGCCCCGUUAGGGUGGCCGAGAGGUUGCCUGAGGGGGCCGCAGUGAAGAGGCCCAAGCGACUGUUUAGCAAAAACACAGGUCUCUGCGAAGCCGCAAGGCGAAGUAUAGGGGCUGACGCCUGCCCGGUGCUGGAAGGUUAAGGGGAAGGGUUAGCGCAAGCGAAGCUCUGAACCGAAGCCCCAGUAAACGGCGGCCGUAACUAUAACGGUCCUAAGGUAGCGAAAUUCCUUGUCGGGUAAGUUCCGACCCGCACGAAAGGCGUAACGACUUGGGCACUGUCUCAACGAGAGGCCCGGUGAAAUUGUAGUAUGCGUGAAGAUGCGCAUUACCCGCGACAGGACGGAAAGACCCCGUGGAGCUUUACUGUAGCCUGAUAUUGGAUCUUGGUACGGUUUGUACAGGAUAGGUGGGAGCCGUGGAAUUCGGGCCGCCAGGUUCGAAGGAGGCAUCCUUGGGAUACCACCCUGAUCGUACCGAGGUUCUAACCGACACCCGUGAUCCGGGUGCGGGACCGUGUCAGGUAGGCAGUUUGACUGGGGCGGUCGCCUCCUAAAGCGUAACGGAGGCGCCCAAAGGUUCCCUCAGAAUGGUUGGAAAUCGCGCUAGAGUGUAAAGGCAGAAGGGAGCUUGACUGCGAGACCUACAAGUCGAGCAGGGACGAAAGUCGGGCUUAGUGAUCCGGUGGUACCGCAUGGAAGGGCCAUCGCUCAACGGAUAAAAGCUACCCCGGGGAUAACAGGCUUAUCUCCCCCAAGAGUUCACAUCGACGGGGAGGUUUGGCACCUCGAUGUCGGCUCAUCGCAUCCUGGGGCUGUAGUCGGUCCCAAGGGUUGGGCUGUUCGCCCAUUAAAGCGGUACGCGAGCUGGGUUCAGAACGUCGUGAGACAGUUCGGUCCCUAUCCGUCGUGGGCGUAGGAAAUUUGAGAGGAGCUGUCCUUAGUACGAGAGGACCGGGAUGGACACACCGCUGGUGUACCAGUUGUUCCGCCAGGGGCAUAGCUGGGUAGCUACGUGUGGUCGGGAUAAGUGCUGAAAGCAUCUAAGCAUGAAGCCCCCCUCAAGAUGAGAUUUCCCAUAGCUUUAAGCUAUUGAAGAUCCCUGAAAGAUGAUCAGGUUGAUAGGUCUGAGGUGGAAGUGUGGUGACACGUGGAGCUGACAGAUACUAAUCGAUCGAAAACGACUUAAUCUA